GUUUAUGGUCAUGCCACCCUGAAUGCGUCCGAUCUCAUCUGAUCUCAAAAGCUAAACAAGGUCAUGCCUGGUGAGUACUUGGAUGGGAGAAAAUAGAUUAGAGCAUAGAUC
rnacentral:rRNA from 1 species